rnacentral:rRNA from 1 species
AUGCUAGCAAAGCAAUGUUGGCGGUUAUUAUCUGAUCCGGAUUCGUUAUGUGCUCAAGUCCUACGAGCAAAGUAUUACCCUGAUGGGGAUUUGAUGAAUACUACUCUGAAAAAAGGUGCUUCCUUUACAUGGCAAAGUAUCAUGGCAGGUAUGAAAACCUUCAGGGAAGGGGCGAUCUGGCGGGUUGGGGAUGGUGCAUCCAUUGACAUUUGGAAGGAUCAGUGGAUUCCCACAAGCCAUGAUCGGAGGGUUAUGACCCCAAGGGGGCAUUGCUUGUUACAGAAAGUACAAGAACUGGUUGAUCCAAUAUCCGGAAGCUGGGAUGAACAAUUAGUAAGGGAAAUUUUUUGGCCAGUGGAUGCUGAAAGAAUUUUGCAGAUACCACUAUCAUCUCAUGGCCAGUCUGAUUUUAUUUCAUGGCAGUUUUCUAAGUCGGGAUGUUUCACGGUCCGGUCUGCUUAUCACAUCACUUGGAAAUCUGUGUACAGAACACGGGCUCGGAUGAAUGUUGGAGCAGGAAGAGUGGAUCCGCACCCGGUUUGGAAAGUCCUUUGGGGCAUGUCAGUGCCCCCUAAGGUAAAUGUGUUUAACUGGAGAGUGCUACAUGGGAUUGUACCAUGCUAUUGUACGCUGUCAGAUCGGCACCUAUCUACUCCGGUGAUUUGUCCAGUAUGCGGCAAUGAGCCUGAGGAUCUGCGACAUAUGUUGUUUGCGUGCGAAAGAGCCAAGGCCGUGUGGAAGGAGCUGGGGCUGGAAACAUCGAUCGCGAAUGCAGCAGCC